rnacentral:ncRNA from 1 species
CUGAACGUGGCGUAAAGGGUGGACGUAAACCCCAGAUGGGUUAUGUGCCCAUUCCCUGCCAUCCCAAUGGCCAGGUGAACGCCCACAUCAG